rnacentral:rRNA from 1 species
AUGGAGAUCAUACACAGUUUUGGCAUGGCUUAUGGCCUGAAAGUCAACUUAUAGAAAUCAACAGUGUCCCCAAUAAGAUGCAAGAAUAUUGAUCUGCAGCCAGUUCUUCAGGAAUUUGGGGGUCAGCUGGCAGGCUUCCCAAUGACUUACUUGGGCCUGCCGAUCACCAUCGCCAGGAUUAGGAUGGUGCACCUGCCAUUCAUCCUCGACCGUGUCCGGGCUCGUCUUGCAGGAUGGAAGAGCAAGCUCCUGACCAUUUCAGGAAGGCGGGUGCUGGUGCAAGUGGUGCUAAGCUCCCUCUCCACCUUUGCGCUAAUGGCACUUCAGGUGCCAAAGAAACUGAUCAAGGAAAUCGACAAGGUCCGAAGAAGAUUUCUCUGGGCGCAAGAUGCAGAGUUGGCUAGUGGCAAAUGCAAGGUCAGGUGGGAAAAAGUUUUCUCACCAAUCGACCUAGUGGGACUGGGCAUUCUGGAACUGAAUAAAUUCAGUAGAGCGCUGCGUCUUUUUUGGCUUUGGCAGGCAUGGAAGCACCCUGAUCGACCGUAG